rnacentral:rRNA from 1 species
GGACUGCCCGAUGGAGGGGGAUAACUACUGGAAACGGUAGCUAAUACCGCAUAACGUCGCAAGACCAAAGAGGGGGACCUUCGGGCCUCUUGCCAUCGGAUGUGCCCAGAUGGGAUUAGCUAGUAGGUGGGGUAACGGCUCACCUAGGCGACGAUCCCUAGCUGGUCUGAGAGGAUGACCAGCCACACUGGAACUGAGACACGGUCCAG